rnacentral:rRNA from 1 species
UCCGUAGGUGGAUAAUUAAGUCAGAGGUGAAAUCCUGCAGCUCAACUGUAGAAUUGCCUUUGAUACUGGUUAUCUUGAGUCAUUAUGAAGUGGUUAGAAUGUGUAGUGUAGCGGUGAAAUGCAUAGAUAUUGCACAGAAUACCGAUUGCGAAGGCAGAUCACUAAUAAUGUACUGACACUGAGGGACGAAAGCGUGGGGAGCGAACAGGAUUAGAUACCCUGGUAGUCC